rnacentral:tRNA from 1 species
UGUACUUUAGUAUAUGAUGUAUUUAAGUUUUUGAUACUUAGGGGGGUAGUUUGAUUCUACCAGGUGCAA